rnacentral:lncRNA from 1 species
UCUGCUUUAGAAAUGUUUAGUUCUACAAACCUCUACUUAAAAAGAAAAAAAAAAAAACAUUUGGAUGGUCUGAAACCCUUUUGAAAAUAAAUACUCUACAGGUAACUACCAUAUUUCCAACCAAACUGUGCUGAAGCUUUGGCUGUUGACCCAAGAGAGGGAACAGCAGUUUACCACUCUUGUUCCUAGAUGCCCCAGGAUAACCCAAGGCUUGCGUGGACACCAGUAGGAAACAGAC